rnacentral:rRNA from 1 species
CACUCCUGCGGGAGGCAGCAGUGGGGAAUUUUGGACCAUGGGCGAAAGCCUGAUCCAGCAAUGCCGCGUGUGUGAAGAAGGCCUUCGGGUUGUAAAGCACUUUUGUCCGGAAAGAAAUCCUUGGCUCUAAUACAGUCGGGGGAUGACGGUACCGGAAGAAUAAGCACCGGCUAACUACGUGCCAGCAGCCGCGGUAAUACGUAGGGUGCGAGCGUUAAUCGGAAUUACUGGGCGUAAAGCGUGCGCAGGCGGUUUGCUAAGACCGAUGUGAAAUCCCCGGGCUCAACCUGGGAACUGCAUUGGUGACUGGCAGGCUAGAGUAUGGCAGAGGGGGGUAGAAUUCCACGUGUAGCAGUGAAAUGCGUAGAGAUGUGGAGGAAUACCGAUGGCGAAGGCAGCCCCCUGGGCCAAUACUGACGCUCAUGCACGAAAGCGUGGGGAGCAAACAGGAUUAGAAACCCUGGUAGUCCCAUGA